CGAAUAACUAUGUACCGAAAAUUUUGCGGUCAAAACGUUUUGUGGUCCGAAGUUGCUCAAGUUGUUGGAAAGCACUUUAUUGCAAGUUUCCCUACCUCUGAGAUGGUGAAAUCAUGCUCUGUUAGUGGAUCUGGAUCUUAAUCAAUUUUGUUAUAUCAGCUGAUUAUAUGGCCAAGGUCAUUUGGUUCAGAAGAGGAGACAAAGCCGUCUCCUACUUUGUGUAGCAACUGCCAUAGUCAUGCGGAAAUGCUUCCACCAACUUGGAAUCACCCCUCUUUAUAUAUGCACAACGACUAAA